AUGAAGAAGGCCAGGGGCACUCCCUCCCAACCUGUGUCCUCUCUGGCCCUGUUUAAUUCUUCCUUGGUCCCACAUGGCACAGCCUGCAGCCACUAAGGUGGCCAGAUUUUCCUCCAGUGGACUCAUCACACCUCUUUGUAUUCCAUUCUCAGAUGAGAGGAGGCGCCAAGACCCCUGGGGAGCUCGUGAAAGUUUAAUGCCAUUCCCUUCCCAGAAGCUGGGGGGUCUGGGGCCAGCCUGGGCAGG